rnacentral:rRNA from 1 species
GACGAACGCUGUCGGCGUGCUUAACACAUGCAAGUCGAACGGUGAACCUCUUCGGAGGCGAUCCGUGCCGAAGGGGUGAGUAACACGUGGGCAACCUGCCCCCGGCUCUGUGAUAACUCCAAGAAAUUGGGGCUAAUACCGGAUGUUCACCGCUUCCCGCAUGCCUGGUGGUGGAAAGGUUUUCCGGCUGGGGAUGGGCCCGCGGCCUAUCAGCUGGUUGGUGGGGUAGUGGUGUACAAGGGCGACGACGGGUAGCCGCCCAGAGAGGGUGACCGGCCACACUGGGACUGAGACACGGCCCAGACUCCUACGGGAGGCAGCAGUGGGGAAUAUUGCGCAAUGGGCGGAAGCCUGACGCAGCGACGCCGCGUGGGGGAUGACGGCCUUCGGGUUGUAAACCUCUUUCAGCAGGGACGAAGCGCAAGUGACGGUACCUGCAGAAGAAGCACCGGCCAACUACGUG